GCCAUUCCAGAUACCAGUAAAAUUCCUUUCCUGUCUAUCUCUGAGAGUUCGGACUUUACAAGAGGCAUUCAUUCUCCAGCCUCAUUGAGGAGAGGAAGGUAUUGAUUCUCCAGCCAUGCUGAGGAGAAGCAGCAGUCUGAUGCUUGGUGGAGAGCUCGUGGAGACAGCAUCAGCCCUUUCAUCUGGGUAGUGCCAGGAGUCACUGUGACAUUCUACAUUCUUGAUGUUUGUCAAAUCACUGGGGCAGGAGAGUGACAAGGGUGACUGAUGCAAGCUCCCGUCCAUUCUGAGUCACAGGAACACCAAGCUGAUAGCCUGAGACAAAUCAAAUCCGCAUUAUCAGCAGUGCGACCUGGUGGCCUCUGGGAUAUAGCCAAGCAGGAUUUUUGUUCCAGGUGAGGCGAGGCCUGCCAAUGACUAUGGAAUGGCAGGUGUACAGCCCGGGCCACAGGUUCCUCCCUCUGUCGCUGAAGCAUAUACCAGCUAUGAGCGCCCCAUCUGUCCUGCACGAAGCCAGAGGUCGGGGAGGCACAGACCUCCACGCUCCAGAUGUUUGCUCCCCUUCAGCCACGACAGCCCUUCACACCAAAGCCACAUCCCACCAGAAAGAGCCUGCACUCCGGUUAGAGUCACAGCCAACGCAUCCAAUCAUAAAUGGGAGCUCCUUGGUAGUUUUCUCCAUACCACCUUUGUUGAAUUUGGUGUAUUACCCAUGCCAUCGACAGUAACAAGAGUGUCAGAAAACACAUGAAGGAUGCUACCAGGAGCAGCGGCAUGUCUGGUGCCAGAAUAAAAACAGGUUCGGUGUCAGUGCUCACACCAUGGCCAGUGU
rnacentral:lncRNA from 1 species